rnacentral:rRNA from 1 species
AGAGUUUGAUCAUGGCUCAGGACGAACGCUGGCGGUGUGCCUUAUGCAUGCAAGUCGAACGAGCCCCGCAAGGGGCUAGUGGCAAACGGCUGAGUAACACGUGAGUGACCAACCCUUUAGUGGGGGAUAAUCCGCCGAAAGGCGGUGUAAUACCGCAUACGAUCCCGAGGCUCCAUGGUCUUGGGAGGAAAGCCGCAAGGCGCUAAAGGACGGGCUCGCGGCCUAUCAGGUAGUUGGCGGGGUAACGGCCCACCAAGCCUAAGACGGGUAGCUGGUCUGAGAGGACGACCAGUCAGACGGGGACUGAGACACGGCCCCGACUCCUACGGGAGGCAGCAGCAGGGAAUCUUGCGCAAUGGGCGAAAGCCUGACGCAGCGACACCGCGUGAGGGAUGAAGGCUUUCGGGUCGUAAACCUCUUUUUGAGGGGAAGAGCAAGGACGGUACCCUCAGAAUAAGCCCCGGCUAACUACGUGCCAGCAGCCGCGGUAAUACGUAGGGGGCAAGCGUUGUCCGGAUUUACUGGGCGUAAAGGGCGAGUAGGCGGCCUUGUAAGUCCUCGGUGAAAUCUCCUGGCUCAACUAGGAGGGGUCCGAGGAUACUGCCUGGCUAGAGGUGCGUAGAGGAGAGCGGAACUCCCGGUGUAGCGGUGAAAUGCGUAGAUAUCGGGAAGAACACCAGUGGCGAAGGCGGCUCUCUGGACGUCACCUGACGCUGAGGCGCGAAAGCGUGGGGAGCAAACCGGAUCAGAUACCCGGGUAGUCCACGCCCUAAACUAUGGAUGCUGGGGUAUGGGGGGGUAUCGACCCCCUCCGUGCCGAAGCUAACGCGUUAAGCAUCCCGCCUGGGGGACUACGGCCGCAAGGCUAAAACUCAAAGGAAUUGACGG